CAACAGCCACUCGUGGUCCUUCCCCAGCGAGCCCCUGCAGCUCCUGGUCACAGGAGACGGGAACACCAGCUUCGCCUCCUCGGACCCCACCUCUCCCGCAGGUGAGGCCCUGGGCUGCUGAGCUCUGGGGAGGAUCAGCC
rnacentral:lncRNA from 1 species